rnacentral:lncRNA from 1 species
AUGCCAGAAGUGAAAAUGCUAGAUCAUAGGGUAGUUCUGUUUUUAAUUUCUGAUGGGGAACUACCCGCUGCUUUCCACACUGCUUUCUUCUUAGCAUCUCGAAGUGCUUCUGCGCCUCCUCCCGUGACCUCUCAGCCACCCUGUCCACAAGGAGUGCUGCAAUCUGCCCCCUGCAGAGGAUGGAGUCCAGCUCAGAGAGACGCCACAAGUAGGCCAGUCUAUUUCCAGCUGCUGAUUGGAUUGCACAGCAUGCCAGGGUUGGAAAUGGACCUGUCAUGUGAAAUUCUCUCGACUUGCAUCUCUAAAUUUAGUGAGUUAUUUGGGAAAAGUUGCUUCAGACUCCUUCCCCCGCCAAUGAGUACAAGCUUCUCAAAUAAUUGUAAGCACCGGGCCGUUUCCAAGGUGAGCUAAUGAGACGCUCAUUUGCUGAUAGCAGGGCCUUGAUGGGUGAGGAUGGCGCACAUGGCUGUGGAUUAGGUGGAAAGGGAAGAAAUAAUUAGAUUAUUAAUACCGGGUGGCCAAAAUAGAUUCCUAUCCCUUUAUGUUCUUUCAAAGGGAACUAUAGUCUCUGAAACCAUAAAUAUGUGUCUUGUGGGGGUAAACUGUACUGAGAAAAUGUAGGGUUAAAAAAUAGGGGACUGGAAUCCUCAGUCUCAGCUGAGGCGUCUACACUGAGAGCCAGCCCACAGAUAAGGGUGAAUAAUGACUCCGUUCAGGUCCAACUUUAUUGCUUUUGGCCAAAGGCCUUUUGCAGAAAUAACUUUGUAACUUGCUGCCAGGGAAGCUUUUGUCCACAGCUGAGACAAAAGAACAAAGAACAGAGGUGGGAAUUUCUGUGUCGGAUGCCCAUUUCCCCUAAACACCUAGCAAGAACAACAGGUGUGGCCUGGAAGGUGUGGGCUGGGGGAAGGUGAAGUCCAACCUCCUCUGUGGCAGGCUGCCACUCCUGUUCCCUCCUCCUGCCAUCCUGGUGUUUAUUCUGUUCUUCAAGCAAACUCAUUCCUACCUCAGGGCCUUUGCACUCGCUUUUUCCUUUGGUUAGAAAGCAUUUCACUUGUAAGUGGCUUCUCACCACCUUCUGGUCUCACCUCAAACAUCACCCAUUCUUAGAGGCCUUCCCUGAUUUACUCUCUAUCCUGUCUCCCUGAUGGUUCCUUCAAAGCUCUUAAAAUGACCUGA